rnacentral:ncRNA from 2 species
AAAUUGCACCAGGGGUGCCAUUCUGCUGCACCCAUCGCCGUUUUGGCAAAGGAUGGCAGCAGGUUUGGCUGAGAAAGUCCCUUUGAACCUGAACAGGAUAAUGCCUGCGUAGGGAGCGUGCAAUCUUUUCCUU